AAUUAUAGCUUAAUGGUUUGAGCAUUAAAUUGUGGUUUUAACGGCUGUAAGUUCGAGUCUUAUUAAU
rnacentral:tRNA from 1 species